ACAUGCCUACAACAUCGUGUUAAUUCAAUGGAUACCAUUAGAACUCCAUAGACUACCACAGUUAAGUUUGCUCGAGCUAGAGUAGUACUGGGAUGGGUGACUGCCCAAGAAGUCCUAGUGUUUUACAUGCC
rnacentral:rRNA from 1 species